rnacentral:rRNA from 1 species
UUGAACGCUGGCGGCAUGCCUUACACAUGCAAGUCGAACGGUAGAGGGGCAACCCUUGAGAGUGGCGAACGGGUGAGUAAUAUAUCGGAACGUGCCCAGUCGUGGGGGAUAACGCAGCGAAAGCUGCGCUAAUACCGCAUACGAUCUAAGGAUGAAAGCGGGGGAUCGCAAGACCUCGCGCGAUUGGAGCGGCCGAUAUCAGAUUAGGUAGUUGGUGGGGUA